AAGUCGUAACAAGGUUUCCGUAGGUUGAACCCUGCGGAAGGGAUCAUUUACCAUGUUUUUCCGAGCUAUGCCUUUUGGCUGGCUCGAUUACACCCUUGUCUUGUCUACUCUGUUUCCUUCGGUGAUGGUAAAGGCCUGCCGAAGGACAUUUUUUAAACCUUGUACUUGCAAUCAGCGUCAGAAAAUAUAAUUAUUAAAA
rnacentral:misc_RNA from 1 species